rnacentral:lncRNA from 1 species
CCAAUGAGUGACCCUGAGUGACCCCUGAAUGACCAAUGAGUGACCAAUGAGUGACCAAUGAGUGACCAAUGAGUGACCCUGAGUGAUGUCACCUGUCUCACCUGUCCCUGUCUCACCUGUCUCACCUGUCCGUCUCUCACCUGUCCAUCUCUCACCUGUCUCACCUGUCUCUCACCUGUCCGUCUCUCACCUGUCUCUCACCUGUCUCACCUGUCUCUCACCUGUCUCUCACCUGUCCAUCUCUCACCUGUCCAUCUCUCACCUGUCUCUCACCUGUCUCUCACCUGUCCCAGGUGGGCGGGGACGUCCCAGAGACCAAUUACCUGUUCAUGGGCGACUUCGUCGACCGCGGCUUCUACAGCGUCGAGACCUUCCUGCUGCUGCUGGCCCUGAAGAUUUUCUGCGUGCACGGCGGCCUCUCGCCGUCCAUCCAGACGCUGGACCAGAUCCGCACCAUCGACCGCAAGCAGGAGGUGCCGCACGACGGCCCCAUGUGUGACCUGCUCUGGUCCGACCCCGAGGGUACGGCGGGCACGGGGGGCGGGGGGGGACAGGGGGGGACAGGUGAGGGACAGGUGAGGGACAGGUGAGGGACAGGUGAGGGACAGGUGAGACAGGCAAAAAAAACCCAAAAAAAUCCCAAAAUCCCCGAGGUUUUAUCCCAAAAUUCACUGAAUUGGCCUCAAAAAUCACCUGAAUUGGCCCCAAAAAUCACCUGAGUUGUCCAUGGUGAGGGACAGGUGAGGGACAGGUGAGACAGGCAAAAAAAACCCCAAAAAAAUCCCAAAAUCCCCGAGGUUUUACCCCAAAAUUCACUGAAAUGGCCUCAAAAAUCACCUGAAUGGGCACCAAAAAUCACCUGAGUUGUCCAUGGUGAGGGACAGGUGGGCACAGGUGGGCACAGGUGACACACGCAAAAAACCCCCAAAAAAUCCCAAAAUUCCUGAGGUUCUACCCCAAAAUUCACUGAAAUGGCCUCAA